rnacentral:rRNA from 1 species
CUCUGUGACUCCUACGGGGAGGCAGCAGUGGGGAAUAUUGCACAAUGGGGGAAACCCUGAUGCAGCCAUGCCGCGUGUGUGAAGAAGGCCUUCGGGUUGUAAAGCACUUUCAGUAGGGAGGAAGGUAGUGUAGUUAACACCUGCAUUAUUUGACGUUACCUACAGAAGAAGCACCGGCUAACUCCGUGCCAGCAGCCGCGGUAAUACGGAGGGUGCGAGCGUUAAUCGGAAUUACUGGGCGUAAAGCGCAUGCAGGCGGCCUGUUAAGUCAGAUGUGAAAGCCCGGGGCUUAACCUCGGAAUUGCAUUUGAAACUGGCAGGCUAGAGUCUUGUAGAGGGGGGUAGGAAUUUCAGGUGUAGCGGUGAAAUGCGUAGAGAUCUGAAGGAAUACCAGUGGCGAAGGCGGCCCCCUGGACAAAGACUGACGCUCAGAUGCGAAAGCGUGGGGAGCAAACAGGAUUAGAUACCCUGGUAG